rnacentral:lncRNA from 1 species
CUCUUUCUCUAUCUCUUCUUCUUAUCUUUUCUCUCUCCUUUCUCUACCUUUUUUUCUCACUAGCUAGGUUAAGGGAUUUGUGGAAGAGGGAUCUAGGGAUUUGAUGUUAGGCCCCUGAUAAACCCUAGUAAAGAGUUCUAGAUAGAUGGCUUUUAUCUUAUGGAUUUUAUUUUUUUAAUAUUAAAUUUAGUUCUAUAUGAGAAUAAUUUUUUGGAUAAAAGAAUAUUGAGCAGGCUUCUUGACACCCAGAUCAUAAAUCUAGUAAGUUCAGUUUGACG